rnacentral:rRNA from 1 species
AGCUACUGCUAUUAGAGUUCGAUUAAGCCAUGUUAGUUGAGGGUGCUUCUUCUUCCUCGGAGGAAGAAGUAACCCGGCGGACGGCUCAGUAACACGUGGACAACUUGUCCUUUGGACCGGGAUAACCCCUGGGAAACUGGGGCUAAUACCGGAUAGAGCAUUGAUAGCUGGAAUGCACGAUGCUCGAAAGCUGAGGCGCCAAAGGGUAGGUCUGCGGCCGAUUAGGUUGUUGUUGAUGUAAUGGAUCAACAAGCCUCCGAUCGGUAUGGGUUGUGAGAGCAAUAUCCCAGAGAUGGGUUCUGAGAGAAGAACCCAGGUCCUACGGGACGCAUCAGGCGCGAAAACUUUACAAUGUGCGAAAGCACGAUAAGGGAACUCUGAGUGCCUCCAAAGGAGGCUGUUCAGGUGUCUAAAAAGCAUCUGAAGUAAGGGCUGGGCAAGACCGGUGCCAGCCGCCGCGGUAACACCGGCAGCCCAAGUGGUGGCCACUUUUAUUUGGUCUAAAGCGUUCGUAGCCGGCUAUGUAAGUUCCUUGGGAAAUUUAAUCGCUUAACGAUUAAGCUUCCAGGGAAUACUGCUUAGCUUGGGACCGGGAGAGGUCAGAGGUACCUCAAGGGUAGGGGUGAAAUCCGUUAAUCCUUGGGGGACCGCCAGUAGCGAAGGCGUCUGACCAGACCGGAUCCGACGGUGAGGGACGAAGGCUAGGGUAGCGAACCGGAUUAGAUACCCGGGUAGUCCUAGCUGUAAACGAUGCGGGCUAGGUGUUGGCAUUACUGCGAGUGAUGCCAGUGCCGAAGGGAAGCCGUUAAGCCCGCUAUCUGGGGAGUACGGUCGCAAGGCUGAAACUUAAAGGAAUUGGCGGGGGAGCACUACAACGGGUGGAGCCUGCGGUUC